GUUCUUACCAUUUCUCAGAAUCAUCAAUGCCCAGGUCACCCACCUUGAGAAUCAUGGCUUGGAUAACCUCCCUCGUCGACUACGUCCCAAACCCUAGAUUCUUUCCUCCACUUCAUUUUCCUUCCGCGGAAGUUACAUUCAUCGUUUCCUCCCCAUACGAGCUCUGUUUGUGGGUGAUUACUAUCGGAGUGAUUUUCACACCGAUUUCUACCUUGAAGUUGAAGUUGACGUUGUCGAGCCCGACUCUUGGGUUACCCCAUUCCGUCACCACAGUUAGGUGUGUAACCAAGUAGAGGGAAGGUAGAAACAUGAAGAAUUCAUGCUAUCUACUGCUUGAAGAGAACAGGGAGGAUGCAAUAUUAGAACUCACCAGUGUUCCCUGUGAUAUAUGACUACAAAAGAACUGUUUUGUCUUUACCCCCAAUUAUCAAUGGUGCACAUUCAGCAAUCACUCUUAAGACGAAGAAUGUGUUCAUUGAAUGCACUGCUACUGAUCUGACAAAAGCAAAGAUAGUUUUAAACACAAUGGU